rnacentral:lncRNA from 1 species
CAUCAACAACAUCCUCAUAAACCUAAGCUGGUUUGAUGAUAGCUUCCUUCGGAAGCUUGUUCACUCAAGAAUAUAAGAAAGGGGGAGAGCACCACCAAAAUUCGUAGUUGAUGUAGUUAUUUUCUCCAGGUUAAAGUAGAAUUUUUUCAGUAGCCAUAGUUUGGUCUUCUGAUAUGGAUAGCCAAGAGAUAGAUACUAUGCUAGUCAGAUUAUC